rnacentral:lncRNA from 1 species
CUCUCACCAAUAGAAUUAGAUGGAUAUCAUCCAAUUAAGAAAACCUACAUGACCUUCAACAUGUUCGCAAGAAAACCAAAUCAGGCCCCGAGAGAAGCCAUCGUCAUAGAUUCCAAUGAAACCUUCAAAGAGAAGAACCAUGUUUCAUUCUUUUAUUCAAAGUUGUCGAGUUCUCUUCUUCUGUUUAAAAGAUUGGUGAGAAGCUAUAGAGAAACUUAACGUGAUCGUGGUGCUGCAGGGAACGGUGGUAACAGGACUAUCAUACUUGGCUUUGAAUUGGUGCAUUCACAAGAAAGGCCCUGUUUUUGCGACAGCUUUCUCUCCUCUGCUCGUCAUCUUCUC